rnacentral:rRNA from 1 species
CCUACGGGCGGCUGCAGUGGGGAAUAUUGCACAAUGGGCGCAAGCCUGAUGCAGCCAUGCCGCGUGUGUGAAGAAGGCCUUCGGGUUGUAAAGCACUUUCAGCGGGGAGGAAGGCGUUAAGGUUAAUAACCUUGGCGAUUGACGUUACCCGCAGAAGAAGCACCAGCUAACUCCGUGCCAGCAGCCGCGGUAAUACGGAGGGUGCAAGCGUUAAUCGGAAUUACUGGGCGCAAAGCGCACGCAGGCGGUCUGUCAAGUCGGAUGUGAAAUCCCCGGGCUCAACCUGGGAACUGCAUUCGAAACUGGCAGGCUAGAGUCUUGUAGAGGGGGGUAGAAUUCCAGGUGUAGCGGUGAAAUGCGUAGAGAUCUGGAGGAAUACCGGUGGCGAAGGCGGCCCCCUGGACAAAGACUGACGCUCAGGUGCGAAAGCGUGGGGAGCAAACAGGAUUAGAUACCCGAGUAGUC